GACGAACGCUGGCGGCGUGCCUAAUACAUGCAAGUCGAACGCAGUGGGGACGGGUGAGUAACACGUGGGUAACCUCCCAUAAGAGGGGAUAACACUUGGCAACAGGUGCUAAACCGAUACUGAUGGAUGGACCCGCGGUGCAUUAGCUAGUUGGUGAGGUAACGGCUCACCAAGGACACGAUGCAUAGCCGACCUGAGAGGGUGAUCGGCCACACUGGGACUGAGACACGGCCCGGAGGCCUACGGGAGUCAGCAGGAGGUAAUCUGCGGCAAUGAUCGAAAGUCGGGCCGAGCAACGCCGCGUUAGUGAAGAAGGUUUUCGGAACGUAAAACUCUGUUGUUAGAGAAGCAAUAUCUAACCAGAAAGCCACGACUAACUACGUGCGAGCAGGCGCAGUAAGAC
rnacentral:rRNA from 1 species